rnacentral:rRNA from 1 species
GAAACGCGUCAAAGCGUAACUUUAACACCCAAAAUACCAUUAAUUUUUAUGAACCCCUAAUUUAUAAUGAAUGACUCCAUAUUUAUAUGGAAGACACCAUGCUAGGAUUAGUAACAAGAAUUUAUAAUUCUCCAAAAUGCAAAUAUAAACCAACAUGGAUAGACCAUUGGUAGUUACCGAACCUAAAUUUAAUGCAAUAACAUCCACAAGAAAACUCUGCAGCACUCACUCGUUAACCUAACACCAGCGCAUUACAGGAAAGAUUCAAAAAAAGAGAAGGAAUUCGGCAAAUGACGGCCCCGCCUGUUUACCAAAAACAUCGCCUCUUGACUUAUAAUAAGAGGUCUAGCCUGCCCAGUGAAUUUUAAACGGCCGCGGUAUCCUAACCGCGCGAAGGUAGCAUAAUCACUUGUUCUUUAAAUGGGGACUCGUAUCAACGGCAUCACGAGGGUUUUACUGUCUCCUCUUUUUGAUCAGUGAAAUUGAUCUUCCCGUGAAGAAGCGGGAAUAUUUUUAUAAGACGAGAAGACCCCAUGGAGCUUUAAACCAAAUAACAACUUAACCACUUAUCCCAUAAUAAAUUUAACCCCUGUUAUAAGGUUUUUGGUUGGGGUGACCGCGGAGUAAAGCACAUCCUCCACGACGGAAAGAAUAAAAUCUUUAUUUAAGAACCACACUUCUAGAAAUUAGUAUACUAACGUUUACUGACCCGACAAUCGAUCAACGGACCAAGUUACCCUGGGGAUAACAGCGCAAUCUACUUCGAGAGCUCAUAUCGACAAGUAGGCUUACGACCUCGAUGUUGGAUCAGGGUAUCCCGGUGGUGCAGCCGCUACCGAAGGUUCGUUUGUUCAACGAUUAAAACCCUACGUGAUCU